rnacentral:lncRNA from 1 species
GCAUAAUAAGCAUCAUCAACAGGGGUAACUUAUUAGGUGUAUGCUAAUAAGCUGUAGAAAGAAUAUAUCAAUUUGUAAGACUUGUUCAUAAAAUAAAGAAUUGUUCAUAAAAAGGGCCUGAGAUCAAAGUCAAUAUUCAGACCACUAGGGGUCAAUGUUUUUAGACAGGAUAUCCAGUAAGCCUCCCUUUGUAGUAGUAGGAUCUCGAUGUUACCUCCUCUCCUUGGUAGAGCAACAUGCUCAAUGCCUGUGUAUUUGAGGGAGGAAUUGGAUGGUUAGCUUCAACAAAGUUAGCUGCUACUGGAUAGUCAAUGUUCUUACACCUGAUUGAGCUGCGGUGUUCAGCUAUGUGUUGUUUUAAUUGUCUUACGUUUGUCCUGCGUAGGCUUUUCCACAUGAACAGGUGAUCAGAUAGAUUACUCCCUUGGUCUUGCAUGAGAUGAUACCCCUAACAGGAAAUUUUCGAACUGUAUGUUGGUGUCUGAAGAAGGAUGUUUUUAUAGUGCAAUUGCACUGUGCGCAUGAACCCCAUUUGUAGUUCCCAUUUGUAAUGGGUGUCAAGAGUGUCUGAGUCGGCUCAGCCCGGUCAAUUCCUGCCAGUCUGCACAGCGAUAUCAACCCAGAGCAUAUCGGACUGCUUUUUCUCUACCACAUCUCCGGAUUCCUACCUCAAGCUCUGAACCUUUACUCCGGAUCAUCGCAGCUAGCUAGCUGCUAUCCGAGUGGCUACUCCUGGCUAACGUCUCUGUCCCAAAGCAAGCACCAGUUAGCCUGGAGAUAGCCUCGAGCUAGGCCCAUCUCCAGGCUAGGCAAAGAGAUCCAUCAGACAAUUCUUAGGUUUCAAUACCUCUUUUGCCAAUUGGCCUGGACCCUUUGCUGCCGACACGGAGCCCCGCCAAUCCAUCACGACUGGUCUGCCGACGUAACCGUCCGAGGUGUUUUCAACAGGCUCUUCCGUUGCGACAUCCCCCUGAGGCCCAUAUGCUAACCUGCUAGCUGUCUGAAUCGCCGUGUCUCCAGCUCGCCUAGCUACUCACUGGACCCUAUGAUCACUCGGCUACACAUGCCUCUCCCUAAUGUCAAUAUGCCUUGUCUACGGCUGUUUUGGUUUGUGAUUUUUGUCUCGUUUCACUGUCGAGCCUCCAGCCCUGCUCAAUUGUUUUAUUUAUUUUUAUUUCACCUUUAUUUAACCAGGUCGCAGUUGUAAAUGAGAAUUUGUUCUCAGCUGGCCUACCUGGUUAAAUAAUUACAGCGAUUACAGCUGUGAAUCUUAUUGGUGAAGUGUUUAAGAGCUUUGCACACCUGGAUUGUACAAUAUUUGCCCACUAUUCUUUAAAAAAAUCCUCAAGCUCUGUCAAGUUGAUUUCUUAUCAUUGCUAGACAGUUAUUUUGAAGUCUUGCCAUAGAUUUUCAUGCCGAUUUAAGUCAAAACUGUAACUAGGCCACUUGGGAUCAUUCAGUGUUGUCUUGGUAAGCAACUCCAGUGUAGAUUUGGCCUUGUGGUUUAGGUUAUUGUCCUUCUGAAAGUUGAAUUUGUCUCCCAGAGUCUGUUGGAAAGCAGACUGAACCAGAUUUUUCUCUAGGAUUUUGCCUGUGCUUAUAGCUGUAUUCCAUUUAUUUUUAUCCUAAAAAUCUCCCUAGUCCUCACCGAUGGCAAGCAUACAAAUAACAUGAUGCAGCCACAACCAUGCUUGAAAAUAUGAAGAGUGGUACUCAGUGAUGUGUUGUGUUGGAUUUGCCUCCAAGCAUGACAAAUACAUUUCUUUGCCACACUUUUUGCAGUAUUGCUUAAAUCCCGUGUUGCAAACAGGGUGCAUGUUCUGGAAUAUUUGUAUGCUAUACAGGCUGUAUCUUUGUAGUGACUGUGUGUAAUGAUACACCAUCCAAAGCCUAAUUAAUAACUUCAACAUUUUCCAAGGAAUAUUCAGCAUCUGCUAUUAAAAUGUUUACACAUCUACCAAUCAAAGCAUUGAAAAACCUCCCUGGUCUUUGUGGUUGAAUCUGUGCUUGAAAUUUGGUUGAGUGACUUUACAGAUAAUUGUUUGUGUGGGGUAAAGAGAUGGGGUAGUCAUCCAAAAAUCUGGAUAAACACUAUUAUUGAACACAGAAUGAGUCCAUGCAACUUAUUUUGUGAUUUGUUAAGCACAACUUAUUUAGGCUUG